rnacentral:rRNA from 1 species
GAUGAACGCUGGCGGCGCGCCUAAUACAUGCAAGUCGAGCGAACGGACGAGAAUCUUGCUUCUCUGCUGUUAGCGGCGGACGGGUGAGUAACACGUGGAUAACCUACCUAUAAGACUGGGAUCACUUCGGGAAACCGGAUCUAAUACCGGAUAAUAUUUUGAACCGCAGGGUUCAACAGUGAAAGACGGUCUUGCUGUCCCUUAUAGAUGGAUCCUCGCUGCAUUAGCUAGUUGGUAAGGUAACGGCUUACCAAGGCGACGAUGCAUAGCCGAUCUGAGAGGGUGAUCAGCCACACUGGAACUGAGACACGGUCCAGACUCCUACGGGAGGCAGCAGUAGGGAAUCUUCGGCAAUGGGCGAAAGCCUGACGGAGCAACGCCGCGUGAGUGAUGAAGGUCUUCGGAUCGUAAAACUCUGUUAUUAGGGAAGAACAGAAGUGUAAGUAUCUGUGCAUAUCUUGACGGUACCUAAUGAGAAAGCAACGGCUAACUACGUG